rnacentral:rRNA from 1 species
AUUGAACGCUGGCGGCAGGCCUAACACAUGCAAGUCGAGCGAGCGGCGGACGGGUGAGUAAUGUAUGGGGACUGCCCGAUAGAGGGGGAUAACUACUAGAAACGGUAGCUAAUACCGCAUACUAUCCGAUAACCCAUAUGGGAUUAACUAGUAGGUUAGGUAAUGGCGCACCUAGGCGACGAUCCCUAGCUGGGCUGAGAGGAUGAUCAGCCAAACUGGGACUGAGACACGGCCGAGACUCCUACGGAGGCAGCAGUGGGGAGUAUUGCAUAAUGGGCGCAAGCAUGAUGCAGCCAUGCCGCGUGUAUGAAGAAGGCCCUAGGGUUGUAAAGUACUUUCAGUCGGGAGGCGUUACCGACAGAAGAAGCACCGGCUAACUCCGUGCCAGCAGCCGCGGUAAUUC